rnacentral:lncRNA from 13 species
CUUUUUCCUUGGUGGCUCAUGAAAUAAUUGUAUGUGUCGUGAUCAGUGGCAUCUCAUGAACAGAUCUGCUGAAAUCGUCAUUGAAACAGCGUCACUGUCUAUUCCAUCUCCACUGCCACCCUUGCCUAUGUUUCCAGAGAACAGAAAUGAGAGCUUUUCAUCUGUGUUUCCUCAGAGCCUGACACAAUGUCUGGCACAGAAGUCUCCCCUGCCAUGGGAAGAAGGCAGCCCACAG